rnacentral:rRNA from 1 species
CCUACGGGAGGCAGCAGUAAGGGAUAUUGGUCAAUGGGGGAAACCCUGAACCAGCAACGCCGCGUGAGGGAAGACGGUUUUCGGAUUGUAAACCUCUGUCCUCUGUGAAGAUGAUGACGGUAGCAGAGGAGGAAGCCCCGGCUAACUACGUGCCAGCAGCCGCGGUAAUACGUAGGGAGCGAGCGUUGUCCGGAUUUACUGGGGGUAAAGGGUGCGUAGGCGGCUUGGCAAGUCAGUUGUGAAAGCCAUGGGCUUAACCCAGGAACUGCAAUGGAAACUGGCGUGCUUGAGUGAGGGCGAGGUAGGCGGAAUUCGCGGUGUAGCGGUGAAAUGCGUAGAGAUCGGGAGGAACACCAGUGGCGAAGGCGGCCUACUGGGCUUUAACUGACGUUGAGGCACGAAAGCGUGGGUAGCAAACAGGAUUAGAUACCCGUGUAGUC